rnacentral:rRNA from 1 species
UACGUAGGGGGCAAGCGUUGUCCGGAUUUAUUGGGCGUAAAGCGCUCGCAGGUGGUUCGUUGCGUCGUGCGUGAAAGACCCCGGCUCAACUGGGGGAUGUCGUGCGAUACGGGCGGACUGGAGGCCAGUAGGGGGAUGCGGAAUUCCGGGUGUAGUGGUGGAAUGCGUAGAGAUCCGGAGGAACACCAGCGGCGAAGGCGGCAUCCUGGACUGGUCCUGACGCUGAGGCGCGAAAGCUAGGGGAGCAACGGG